rnacentral:rRNA from 1 species
CCUACGGGUGGCAGCAUUUUUUCCUCUUGGACAAUGGGGGCAACCCUGAUCCAGCCAUGCCGCGUGUGUGAAGAAGGCCCUCGGGUUGUAAAGCACUUUCAGUGAGGAAGAACGCCUGGUGGUUAAUACCCAUCAGGAAAGACAUCACUCACAGAAGAAGCACCGGCUAACUCCGUGCCAGCAGCCGCGGUAAUACGGAGGGUGCGAGCGUUAAUCGGAAUUACUGGGCGUAAAGCGCGCGUAGGUGGCUUGAUAAGCCGGUUGUGAAAGCCCCGGGCUCAACCUGGGAACGGCAUCCGGAACUGUCAAGCUAGAGUGCAGGAGAGGAAGGUAGAAUUCCCGGUGUAGCGGUGAAAUGCGUAGAGAUCGGGAGGAAUACCAGUGGCGAAGGCGGCCUUCUGGACUGACACUGACACUGAGGUGCGAAAGCGUGGGUAGCAAACAGGAUUAGAUACCCUGGUAGUC